AAGACUUAACUCACAUCCUAGUUCAUUUCAAAACAAUUGGUUUGACUCAAAACACUCCAAAUCGCUACCAAUCGCGAAGAAUGAAAAAUCCCCAAAAAAUACCUCCGAAAAUACCAAAAAAGAUAAAUUUCAGAUUCAAAGAGGAUGGAACAAGAUGGCACAAAAUUGAUCUUUGGAUUACUUCACCAUGUUCGGUUACAAGCCACUCCUAAGCACAAUCCAAGCUAGGAUGGCAAAAAGAUCAACACAAAGAUCCCUCCUCUCUCC
rnacentral:lncRNA from 1 species